ensembl:lncRNA
UAAUUUGCACCCUCGAUUAAAAAAAGGGGAAUAGUAUAGGUUAAAUACUCAAACUAAGAUAAAUAGCAAGUUAAUACUUUUGCCAAUCAUUUAGGAGGCACAUACAAGUAACCUACCUAAGAUACUUGAGUAAAAUACUGAAUAGGGUGUAUUUACGUAUGUAUGUGAAUUGAAUAACAGAGACCAUUUUCAGAGGUGGAGAAGUGAUCCACUUUAUUUGAUUGGUCUGAAUUCUUGUAAUAGACUACCAAGAGGCAUUGUGCGAUACGAACAUUGCAUUUCAACAUCAUAGGAUACAUGGGUUAUUUCAAGUCUCAAUUUCAGAAAGUCACCACUGCGUGUUUGAUUGUGAGCUGAAAAGACGCUUCAAUUUAGUUUCGGCUUCAUUUUCAUUUUUUUGUCUUUUUAAGAUUCAAGUUUGUAAACUUUAUUUUCGUCAUUGCCAUUGUAAACACAUAACACCCCGUCAAUACGGGAGGAAAUACAUUGAUGUGGAAAAUCAUAUAAGGGGGGGGGGCUAGAAUUGAAAAUCAUGACGAGAACAAAAAAAGGAUCAAGUUUAGAGCAGAUUGGUUGUCUAUAAUAUAACACGGUAGGAUUUCACAUAUUUGACAAAAAAAGAGGCUUAACCAGAAAGGAGCGUAACUGCCAUUAUAAAUUAUGACCUAGCGUUAAUACUUGAAAGCUUCAUGCUUGUGGAUGGGGGGGUUUAAAAUGCUAUCAACCCAGGAUCCAGAGAAGAGAUUAAGGUGACAAGGGUAUUAAAAAUGACAACGACAGCAACUCCCGGAAAAAAAAGUUUAAUAAAAGAAGGGACCAUACACUAAUCGAGACCGUGAAGCAAGUUUCCUACUGGAGAAAAAGAAAGAUAUGAAGCACCAGCUACUUAUAGAGAAGGCCGGAAGUCCAAAUAUCCGUCUCUCUAGCGAGCCGCGUAGGGAUAUUUAAAGCACACCUCAGUAAGCUCCUGUGGCGGAGGCUAAAUAAGUUACACAACAGGUAGUAUGGCCUUUUGUUGACAAAAAGCCCCAAUGCAAAACAAAAAAGUGCAACGGUGCAGCGACCUUUUUUCACGUUUGGUUAGUUUAAUUUUUUUGUCCAACGGAAAGAUAAUACCGAGUUCAGUUUCAGAUGACUGUCUUGACAGUAUAAAAAAAAGGGGGGACUACAUAAAAGAAAAGGAACGUACAAAUAUCAAUAAACACCAAUGUAUAUCUCUGAGAAAAUUUAUUAAAGCUGCCUUGUUUUUCAAGCCGCCAGGGAUGGCAUACCCUCUCACGAAGGAAAAAAGAAAAGAAAAAUAGAUUUCUUCUCUUGCACUAUUUUCACGUUGACUACGUUUCAGAGAGCAUCCAAUUUGUGCAAUAGUGGGAGACUUUACUGCUUCAUGUUAUAAAAAAACCCAAAACAUAGACGUCAGCUCACGUUCAUAAUUCAGAUCAAUGCAGGGCCCAAGAAGUUGUCUUCAAGAAUAUCACUGUCGGCAAUAUUAAGCUUAUCAUUGACUUUCACUUUUCAUACUCUUGACACCAGUGUUUCUAACUCGCACCAAAGAUAGUUUCCCUGACUGCAAAGUGGGUAACACAAGUUGACUUUACAGGUCGGUUCUUUCAAUGAAUUGUCCCAGAUGUUUCAGUGAAAUGUAAGUGUGUCCGGUGUGUAUCUGUAUGUUUCACUAAUGUACAAGAUGUUGAGAAUCUGGCGGUUUUUGGUGGGCAGGGGGCCAGCGCGUCUCUGUGCUCCACACGCACGAUCAAGUAUAUCCCUCAGGUCCACCUCUCCCUCGAUGCAUCACAAGAGGAAACGCGUUGUGUGUGUGUAUGUGUUAAUGUGUGUCUGUAUGUGUGUGUGUGUGUGUGUGUUAAGAGGGGGUGUGGUCCUCACCUGGCGAUAUGGAGGCUUGGUUGAAGGGCCUAGGAGGGAAAGGGGGCUGAGCUCCGGGGAGGUAGGCGAUUCGCUCCAUAGUGGGGGAACCUGUUGCCCCAGGGUGAGGUAACAGGAUAGUUGGAGGCAUCUGGGCUAGAUCAAUUAUCCCUUUUACAGACAGAAGCAAAGGGCCAGCGGUGAACAACAAGAACCAAUUCCAUCAAAUCUACCGGACACCAUGGGCCCCGCCAUCAGCUGGGACCCAUCGCCCGCCACGUCAGUUAUAGAUUUACAGAUCAGUGAAUGAGGCCCCAGGGGCGUGAUUAGAGAGGCUGGGGACCGGUGUGGGGGGGGCAGCUGCAUGGAGCUGAGGCCCCGCGGUACCAAUUUGUACGACCCAUAACCCGAUCAUUGAGGAGUGUGGCCCAAUCAGUGGUAGCCCUCCUCAGUGAUUACAAAAAAAGAAACCUGCUAAUUUUGUCGAGGUCAUUUGCUUCUGGGCGUCUGGAAAAGGAUAGCCAGUAAAAAGGCACACGCACACACACACACACACACACACACACACGCUGUAGGGAAGCAGGCCUGCGCCCUACAGCGUGUCCCCCGACGCGGUUGCGUACCUCGAGCGCCGGCCGGAUACUGGAUGGCGAUGGACUGCUGUUCCCGCGGCGACAGGCCCCGGGCCAGGUCCGGCCGCGGGAUGACCUGCAUCUGCUGGGAGGUGAUGUAGUCGUUGAGGAUGGUCUGGCGCGUGGUCUCCAUGGUGUACAGCUGGUAGGUGUUGGGGUAGCCCGCCGGCGUCGGCUGCCGGGGAAGAUGUACGCGCCUGCCGUGGGACGAGGACAGAAUGGGGGGGGUUCAUAUGAGUAACCGGUGCAGGAUGUUCAACCAAGUUAUCUGCCACCGGCAAACCUAAUAUUGACUAAUGUGAAAAUAAAGAACUAAUUUGUUUUUCUUUAUUUUAGGGGGGCAUGUAAACAUAUAUGUAUGUAUCCAGCCGACUGCCACCUUAAUUAAUACUAUAUUAAUAAUAAGAAUAUCCAGAUUAUUUAAUAAAUCGUACGGUAUAGCCAAUAAAAUCUAAAUUGGCCCCGUGUCUCCAUGGGAUGUCUAUAGUCCGGUCAACGGAGCACAAAAAUAAUUGGCUGUUAGACAGAAUCCCUCCUGGGUGUACAUGCACACUACAGCUCAACGUAGCCCCGUUAAGGUGGGUCACCAGAGAGUGACUAGGGCUACGAGAGGGACGCUCUAGAGGAGCAGCAGCGGCUGUACCAGGGUCCAGGACUCGCUGGAAGGCCAUGGCGGGGUCCAGGUGCGGGGGCAGGUGGUACACCUCCCCGGGGACCAUGGGGCGGAGGUGGGGGUCGAAGGGGCUGUGGGAGGCCACCGGCUCGGACACGGGGGACUUGGCCGGCACGUUGUCCCUCGGCGUGGGGGUCAUGACACUCUUCCUCUCGUGGGACACGGCCUUCCCGGAGCUGAUGCCUCCUUUGUUAAGAGAGGAGAGAAGGGAAGACUCAGGUUUGGAUGUCAUGCGGGUUUGCUACAAGCAGCACCAGGGUUUCGAAAAAUAAACAAAUCCCAAGCAUCGUGCAUCGUCCUCUCACACAUCCCUCUAUUUUAAGCCUUGUUAAAAUGCAGGGACGUGAGAUAUAAAAUCACUUAAUAAUUGUAGCACUCUUGGGUCUCAAAAAAUAAGCAGAACGAUUUUCAUAGUUUGGUAUCGGGGGGUUGCUUGGCAACUGCCGGAACGGUUCUAGGUCUGAACCUCCAUGUUCCAGCGGUCACCGGAGCGUUGCACACUGGGUACACCGGGAUAACGACCCUACCGUCUGGGGCGCGUCCGAGCAUGGGCGACGACCGGGAGUUGGUGCUGUAGUUGACGGGGGUUCUGCGGGCGUUGGCGUCCUCGUACAUGCCGGGGGCUGAGCUGGGUCCUGUUGGCCUCCUGGUGGGUGGAGCGCAGCACGCCGGUGGAGUUGACCACGGACUGGCGCACGCGGUCCGGCCCGCCCUUGCUCUCCUCGUACUUGGCCCGUUCCAUGGCCUCCAGCUGGGGCAGACCGUGGGGCAUCUUGCCUGGACUGGUGAUCAGGGACUUGACGUUGUGCUUGAUGGCAGGCUGGUUCACAGAAUGGAUCUUUGCAAAGGGGAAAAUCCACUGGAUCAACAAAGGAUAUGUCAAAUAAAAUGGGGAUGUACCGGAUAAUGUAGUGGGCGGGUAAGGAUAGUAUAGAGCAGUGGUUGACAACCUAUGGUUCGGGACCCCACUUUGGGUCCCCGGAUUCGCAUAUGGAGUUGCAGGAAAUUGCUGAUGUAAGCUAUCGAUAGUCAUCUACAUUUUAUAUUUAUUUAUUUGUAUCCACUUUAUAUUCAAACUGCCUGCCCGAACGAUUCACAGCCAACAAGCAAACUAAUAUUAAUCUAGUGUGUAGUUGAGCAAUGUCAUUACGUUCACCGGGACAUUGAUAAUGCAGAUGUUGAUCGGGUGAACACGAUUUGUGUGGAAGCAGAUGCACAAAAAUUGAAGUUCACAGUGAGACAGAGUCGAUGGAGCCGUGGGCAUCAUACCUGGGACAUGGGUCCCUCCAAAACCCUUCGGUCCGCCAUGUCGGGGGUCUUCCGGCUGUCCCCGCCGGACUGGUCUUGGCGGGGGAUCUCGUGGAUGGAGCGGCCCAGCUCCUGAAUGGUGUUGACCGCGUCGUACGGCUUGCCCUUGCCGAUACCCCCGUCGAAGGAGCGGAUGGGCGGGCUCUCCCUCUUGAUCUGCUUGUAUUUGGGGCUGUCGUCGUAGGCCUCGGCCGACGUCCUGGGGGUCCCUGGAAGGGAGAGAGACAAAACACAUUUGGAUGAGCCGCAGCAAUGUGUGGUGUCUUUGUCAAUUUGUGUGAUGACGUCGUACGGCUCCAAGUCAAUCCGAAAGGAAAGUCAAAUGAUCAAAUAAGUUGUUCCAUCAAAUGGAUGGCGCAACCACUGGGAAAUAAUUAUAGGUGGCUAUUAAAAUAUCCCCUGUCAAUUAAAAUAAUGUGUCCAUUGAAUCUAUUUAUGAGCUACUAAGGCUUCAAGAGGAGAGUCUACCUUGCAUAAUGGAUCCAGUGAUGAAAGGCCUUUCUUUAGAAUCUCCAUGGAGACCCUCUCUAGGCAACGCUCGGCCCAUCAAUCCUGAACAAAACAACAACGUACUUUCAGAUAGUCUCAUGGAUAACAUGAAGAAACAUCUUGGUGUGGAUGCAUUUCUUUAUAAUAAAAUAACAAUAAAAGUUAGAACAACGCCUCUCCGUGUGUAUACAUUGAAUCAGCAAUUACGUAAAUGCAAUUAUAAACAAAAACCGAAAUAAAAAAACCACCCCAUCUCAACAUCAUAGAAUAUUGAUUUAAUGAUUGAAUAAAUGUAAUCCGAUAGAUAUUUCAAUACAAUCAGACUACCUUCAAACGGAGCUCCGUCGCGGCCGGGGAGACCUCUACCCGUGGGGCCCUCAAUCAUGUCACAGGAGCGCUUCAGGUCGUGGCCGGCCCUGGGGCUGCGGGUGGCUUCCCUGGGGUUCUUGAUGGCUGUGGGGAGGCCCGGGAAGAGGUUAGGUUCAGCUAUGAGGAGCAGGGUCUCCCAUAAGGGAAGGAUAAGAACUGCACCCCAGCUAUUUAAAACGACUGACGUCGCCAUAAACGACUGCAGCAUUCAACCGACUCUUAAUAGUAUACGGCUCUGGAUGAUCAACCAAGUUACCGCUAACUAGCAAACAACAUUGGCUGGCCUCAAAAGAAAGACUUAACUAGUUUAAAGUGUGACGCAAAUAGUUGAAACGUUGCUUUGCCCUAGCAAAGCGAAAUGGCUGAAUGAAAAGGGUAGCCUUGGCGAUAGCCACAGGAGGUCUUACCGUCGUAGGAGACGAUGUGGCCGCUCUUGCCCUCGUAGAUGACGUGACCUUUGGGCAUCUGCUCCCCCCGGCCGCUCUUGUCCGGGCUGCUCAUGUCCUCGGUGGCCAGCUUGGUGAUGGUGCCCUUCAGCAGGUCAGCAGCGAUGCUGGACUGGGGCAUGGCAGGAGUACCCUGGACAGCACGCAGACAGGAAGUGUAAGAACUGUGAAGUGGUGAACUUGUUUAAACUAAAUGAUUAAUCCCAGACUAUGAAAUAAAUCAUGUGUUGCCGCCCUUAUAUAUCUGGGUAUGAUUAAUAAAAUAAUAAAAGAGAUCUGAUCAUAGGCUAUGAUGAUAUUGAAUCUAUAUUUUACAUAUGAUUGCAAAUGAUCUGAUGGAUUAGUCCUACCUGGGUAAUCGAUCCGCGCCCAUAGGCCAGGCCCUCGCCCAUCUUGCCUGGGUUGCCUCUCCCAUCCUGGACGGAUUGCAUGGAGCCUGGGAGGAGGAGAUGGGGGAAGAGUUGAGAUUAACACAAAUACCAAGGGAACACGAUCCUGUGUCGAGAGAGAGGCUAGCAAAGAGGAACCAUUUGAAACUCCAUCGUCUAGCAACAUCAAUGGCAGACUUGCAGCUGGAGGUUCAACCACGCUCACAACCUUUUAGCCUCGUCUGUCGAUUCGGUUUGUUGUUGUUAAGAUCCCCUGAGAGAGGGAGAGAGAGACUACGGAAAGGUCUUUUGUGGAGAUGCAUCCGGUCCACACAGCAAAGGGAGUAAAGGUUUUUGAACUUGACUCUGUAGUACAUUAAACCCCUUCUGUAUCAGCAGAGAGCAUCGUAGUCUGUCCGAGUAUAGAGGCUCACAGUGGUAGACUCAAUGGUUAGUGCUUAAGAAACUAAGAAACAACGUAUUUUGACGCAUUGCAGGUUUAGCCUUGGCAGGGUUUUUGUACAGUUAACCAGUAGUAGUGUGAAUGGGAGAAACUCAACGCGGAAGACACAAGUAAGUCAGAGAAGGGUCGGGGUGAACGUGGAGUGAAUAGCCCCGCUGCGCAGGCUUGUCAGUGUUGUUUAUCCGGUGUGAAUGGAGCCAUUCGUCGGAACAGAAGAGCGACAACAAAACCGCCGCAACUACCAAAACAACUCCAGGAAGUGGGUUCUCAGGACAGCACUAAUUAGAGUUGCCCCCAGGCUUUUAUUGAGGGAAGCCUGGACCCAAGAGAAUACAAGGGGGGUUGGGGGUCCAAUUCCUCACCCACCACAAUCAAAACAGGCACACAAACUCAAUCCAAUCUCAAGAUAUGUCGCUGCACGGAAAAACUUUGAGGUAAAGUGUGUGGCAUUUUCUGUACAGCAGCAUAGGAAAUGACAUCGAGGUAAAUGGGCGGUUUGCAGAACAGAAUGUUUACGAGGGACAUUAUGCUACCUCCAAUCUCCAACCUGAUCAUCAUGCAUGGAAGGCAAAGAGCCCCAUUACAGUGUGUAGGUUUUUUUAAAUGAAGCAUUUAUUGGGGGAACGCGACCCUGAGAUCCACAUCUAGAACAUAAAUACAGGGUGGAAAAAUACAGGAACCCAAAUUCAGCAAGAAUGUCGAUAAAAUGUUGGCGGCUUUAUGCCGCAAUGGCAGCACAGAAUGCUGUAGACUAGGCACACUGUACUUAACUGUUGAACUUUAUCUAAUUAGGGAUCACGCUGUCUGUUAAAUAUGAGGAAAGGAUCAAAUAUCCAUCCUGUUGAAAUGGUGGUAAUUCAAUGGAAAUUUGCUUCUGCGUCAACCUGGAAUGAGGAGGGAAACUCAUAGCCAGAUGAAGGAAACAGAGUCCUGCUUCACCCAGACAGACAUGCAUAUCAAAUGGCAGCCUCUACCCGGAAAUACGAAUAAAAGAUCAACCUAGCGACCUGCUGGUCUCCAGAGGGUCUACUUUUGAAAUGGCUUUGUAAAGGCCAAUCCCCCUAGCCGACCCGUGGUGAAAGCAGCGGCGUCCUACCAGGCUUGUUGUGGUCCUGCUGUCGGGGCAGGCCCAGCAAUAUGGAGCCCACGGAGCUCUUGGUGCCCUCUGGCCCGUAGAGGGCGUGUGAGGGGAGGUACGUGCCGGGAGUCCCCUGGAGGAGCGGGAAUAAGAGAGCAGGUCAGCGCACCAGGGCCAAGUCAAGCUGAUGCUGAACCGAGCUGGUGCUCUUAGUGAAACGGUUUUGCUUUGAGGGUCGGACGGGGGAUUCAUGUCGUAGUUAGUAUACAUGUCCCGGAUUGUAAUCUAUACAGUUAACCUAGUAGGCCUAUAACCGUUUCUGUCUCGGUUUUAAAAAAGGCUCUUUACACACAAUACACUCUGCUUUGUUUAUAAAGUAAUAAUGACUUUGCUGGAGGAUUAUGCCGGCGGUUUGAUACGGUUGUAGUGGUGUGUUAGCGUCCAACAGAGAGGAUCACCCAUAUCCAUUUAAAAGCCGGUUCAAAUCAGAUCUAAGGGCGGUUGAUUAAGCUGCUCCGGGGGGAGCUUACCUGGGAGAUGGAGCCGCCCUGGAUGAAGGAGGGCUUGUCCGUGUGCUUGGAGGUGGGAAUGAGGGGCGGCGGAGCUGGAAUGUUUGGGGGCCGGCUGUGCCUGAACGACACCCGCACGGCCUCCGGCAUGUCCUGGGCCGUCUGGCUGGGCGUCGGGUGCAGGACUAGAGCGACACAGGGAGAGAGAGAGAGAGAGAGAGCAAUGAAAGAGAUGAAAAUGCUACCAUGGAUUACGUAAAGUGAAUGCAAUUGAUUGUAUUCAAGUUUGAUUCCAGCGUGCACACACACACAACCAUUAAUUAAAAACACACAAAAAUAGCCGCCUUCCCCAUUAAACACACACUGACCCAGCGGACAGUAUAUGGUUCCACAAAGAGCUUGGUAAGGGUUUAAAUAGCAACAAUAAAAUAUUAAGAUCCACCAUAACGGGCUGUUACAGGCAUAGUGGAUCUGAGGUCAUAAAAUGGAGGCUCUGCGCUCUGCCCUUGGGGAUGCAAGCAGACUGCCGGGAGAUGGCCAACUAAAUGGAUUAACCACACACACACACACACACACACACACACACACACACACACACACACACACACACACACACACACACACACACACACACACACACACACACACACACACACACACAGUGUCAUGCCCCAGCACUUAACAAUAUCAAAAAUGCAAAUGGCCGCCGUGUUAUUAAGAGUUCUUCCAGUGGUCGCGGACGUCAGCACUCUGCCAACCCCAAGCGGGGGAAACACAACAAACCACUCUAUGACGCGAGCGAUACACGAGCGACCCUGCAGCUGGGAGGCAUACGGCGGGGGGGUAGGGGCAGAUGACAUUAAUAUUCAUUCUGCCAGCUCAUUGUUGACGAAAGCGACUGGAAACUUGGUAGGUCGGUUGAGAUGUGCUGAAGCGAGAGGAGGGAAAGGAGGGGAAUGACCGGUGACGACUCAAAAUAAAAAAGAAAGGCCUGUCCCUCAACACUGAACCCCGAGCUAUCGUAACGGCCCUGAAGACUGUUCCUUUCACUUCAAAAAUCAAUCUCAUCGGAUCAAAGACAUGCAAAUGGUGCAGCCAGUGACAGAUGCUACGCCUCUAUUGAGAUAUAGUAAUGACAAUUAUACAUCAACAUCGUUAUAUCUCAAUGACAACCUAGCGUAUAAAGGGGCAAAAAGCUGUAUAAAACUCAGAUGAAACUCUAAUCUAAAACUUCCAUCGCUCAGCGAGCCAAUGAAGUGAGGUUCAGGCGGCAGCCAGAAACAGCCCACAGCGUGAGGGAGAAGAAAGGCCCAGUGGCUAGCCAACAGUAGCUCACAAAAUGGUGGAAAGGGCCCACUGGUGAUGGGAGAGAUGGGAGAGGAAAAAAAGGGGGGGCAGGCAGCAGGAAUUGGAUGAAGAGAGGGAAGGGGGGUGUGCAGGUUACCUGGAGGCACACUGUAGCGGGAGACAUUGGGGGCGCUGGGGUCGGACUGGGCAGAGGCCUUGCUCAGCUCCCUGGGGCAGAGCCUGUAGGGGGAGCCAGGCCGGCCUGACUGGGCCUCCUGCUCCAGAGCCAGCUUCAUAUCAAAAGGCAUGAAGGGGUAGGGCUUACCUGCGGGUCACAGGCACACAGGACACAAGGGAGGGAACUAUUAGGAGAGGAGGGAUUCAACAACAGACCGCCAGGGACCUCGAAGAGCACACCCCGCCGUACCUGGAGGAAGGAGUGUGUGACUUAAUACACCCAGGGCCCUUGAACUCCACGGUUCACCGGGCUACUGUGCCAAAGGGCAUGGUUGUCAUCCAUUUGGCAACCAUGCAGAUGAAUCAGUCAGAGGGUUCGCUAUAGGCCUUUCCUAGCAAGGUGCUUUGAAUAUCCCCUUCUACUGGGGUGCACCGGCCUAACAACCAUAACUAAAGCCACGUUCAGUACCCCCUGGGAAGGACAUGACCCGUCUGCAAAGUGGCACUCAGCGUCCAAUCUCACUUAUGCAUGCAAUUUGAAAAAACGACAACGCGAACUGGGUCAGCCAAGUUUCUGUCCCUGCACUUGCAGCAUUCAGAGUUCCCCCUCGUUCGACGACCAAUCAGACAAACGAAUGAGAGGAUAUAAAAACGGAAAGAAUCAAUUCUUGGUGAGAAUAGUCAUUCACAGACCACAGGAGGCCUUCCUCACACCAAAGAGACCGAUGGAGAGGAACAGCCAGACGAGGGCAAAGCAGGGUGUGUGUGUCUGUGUGCGUCUGUAUGCGUGUGUCUGUGCGACUGUGUGUCUGGCGUGUGUGUGUCUGCGUGUGUGUGUAUGUGUGUGUCUGUGUGUGCGUGUCUGCGCGUGUGUGCCUUCCCCGUACCAUCUCGCGUGCUGAAGGCGGGGUGGCUGGGGGGCCGGCGGUCGGCCUCCCCCUGGUCCUGCCUCUGCUUGUCCUCCUGGUGGGCGGACUCAUGCACCGCCUUGAUCUGGUGCUGGAACAUAGUGAAGCCACUGACGGGCACGGCCCCGGGCCCGUAGGGACCCUGCACCUGCACGGGGGGGAGAGGGGG